UACGUAGGGUGCGAGCGUUAAUCGGAAUUACUGGGCGUAAAGCGUGCGCAGGCGGUUCGUUAAGUUCGUUGUGAAAGCCCCGGGCUCAACCUGGGAACUGCAAUGGAAACUGGCGGGCUUGAGUAUGGCAGAGGGGGGUGGAAUUCCGCGUGUGGCAGUGAAAUGCGUAGAGAUGCGGAGGAACACCGAUGGCGAAGGCAGCCCCCUGGGCCAAUACUGACGCUCAGGCACGAAAGCGUGGGGAGCAAACAGG
rnacentral:rRNA from 1 species